rnacentral:rRNA from 1 species
UACAGAGGUCCCGAGCGUUGUUCGGAUUCACUGGGCGUAAAGGGUGCGUAGGCGGUCGGGUAAGUCUGAUGUGAAAUCUCACAGCUUAACUGUGAAACUGCAUUGGAUACUAUUCGGCUUGAGAGUUGGAGGGGGACUGGAAUUCUUGGUGUAGCAGUGAAAUGCGUAGAUAUCAAGAGGAACACCAGUGCGAAGGCGAGUCCCUGGACAACUUCUGACGCUGAGGUACGAAAGCGUGGGGAGCGAACAGG